GAUAUUUUGGAUGUUUGAAAUUUUUUUGCUCCAGAUGCAUAUGUGGAGGUUUAUCUAAGUUCUUCAACUACAAAUUCACCUAUCGCAAAGGCCGCUAUAGAAGUUCCAACAAGCUCUGUGCUACUUCUGAGGAGAGAGGGUCUGAAUAUUGGGAAAAAGGUUUGAACCCAUCACGUGACACAAAUUAUCCCCAGGAAGAACCUUGCUUUUCUGGUGAAGGUUAAGUUUUAUGAAGGCUUUACAAUGUACCUCCAUGAUGAAAUGAGAUAAUACUGAGCUUCUCAAGGACAGAGGCCCUAUCUUCAGAACUUUGCAGGAUGUGAGACACAUAGUAAGUGCCAAAUAAACAAAUCAGUUAUGAAUAAUUUGUAUUAAUAAGGAGGUAGCAACUUAGUGACUG
rnacentral:lncRNA from 1 species